UACGGAGGGUGCGAGCGUUGUCCGGAAUCAUUGGGCGUAAAGGGUGUGUAGGUGGCGCCGUAAGUCGGGUGUGAAAUUUCGGAGCUUAACUCCGAAACUGCAUUCGAUACUGCGGUGCUUGAGGACUGGAGAGGAGACUGGAAUUCAUGGUGUAGCAGUGAAAUGCGUAGAGAUCAUGAGGAAGACCAGUGGCGAAGGCGGGUCUCUGGACAGUUACUGACACUGAGACACGAAGGCCAGGGGAGCAAACGGG
rnacentral:rRNA from 1 species